rnacentral:lncRNA from 1 species
AUUUAUCCAACAGUUUUAAAUCCUUUGCUAUGCUUUGAAAUUCUUGGAGCAUUCAGCCUUUCUUGAAAUGCUCAGACUCAGCGCUUUUUCCAGGUGAACUUCCGUCGUGCUCCCUCUUGACCAGGCUUCUUCCGUUCCCUCACACGUGGAUCAACUGUCAGCAGCCCAGCUUGUCUCAUAAAUUCCACCUCUGUUUCAGUCACAAAACUUCGCAAUGCUUUUGCAGUGGCCAAACGUAUCGCUCCAGCCUGUGAGGAUCUUCCUCCACCAGAGACUGUGCAAAUUGCAUCAUGCUUUCCAACUCUGUCUAGA